rfam:Triticum aestivum genome assembly, contig: Triticum_aestivum_CS42_TGACv1_scaffold_030387_1BL
CUGAUACUUUCUUUGUUCUAAAUUACUCGUCGCUGAAAUGGAUGUAUCUAGAACUAAAAUACAUCUAGAUACAUCCAUACGUGCGACAAGUAAUUCGGAACAGAGAGAGUACUUG